rnacentral:lncRNA from 1 species
ACAAUUAGAGUGAAGCCCUCAUGAAUGGGAUUAGUGGUCUUCUAAAAUGAACCUGAGAGAGUUCUUUCAUCUUCUUCCUGCCAUGUGAAGACAUAAAGAGAUGAUCAUCUAGGAACCAGGCCCUCACCAGACACAAAUCUCACUCUGUCGCCCCGGCUGGAGUGCAAUGGCGUAAUCUCGCCUCACUGCAACCUCCACCUCCUGGAUUGAAGUGAUUCUCCUGCCUCAGCCUCCUGAAUAGCUGGAUUACAGGCAUACACUACCACGCCCAGCUAAUUUUUGUAUUUUUAGCAGAGACAGAAUUUCACCAUGUUGAUCAGGAUGGUCUCGAACUCCUGACCUCAUGAUCCACUUGCCUUUGCCUCCCAAAGUGCUGGGAUUACAGUGCCUGUGCCACUGACCUCGGAAGGAGAAGGAUCUGCAGAGCACGUUCUCAGGACAGCCACUCCUGAGGCUGGUGGGACUCGUGAUUGCUACUUGAAUUGGAAUAAUUAGAACGGACAUGAAAAAGGAAUGAAGACAUAUCCCUUCAAAUUUAAACCUACAACUUAAAAUGCAAUUUCAUGAGCACUGUGGGAGGCCUGAGUUUUUACUGCUGGAGCCAAUAGUGAAGAUCUAUCUGGAAAUGUGAUUACCUACAGUAAGCACAAUCACAGAUUUCGGUUGACAACUGGGAGGUCUCCUUCCUUCCUGCGAUCAU